rnacentral:rRNA from 1 species
UACGUAGGUGGCAAGCGUUGUUCGGAAUUAUUGGGUGCGUAAAAGGGCGCGUAGGCGGUCUUGUAAGUCAGCUGUGAAAGCCCGGGGCUCAACCCCGGAGGGUCGGCUGAUACUGCAGGACUGGAGUACGGAAGAGGUAGCUGGAAUUCCCGGUGUAGCGGUGAAAUGCGUAGAUAGUCGGGAGGAACACCUGAGGCGAAGGCGGGCUACUGGGCCGAGUACUGACGCUGAGGCGCGAAAGCCAGGGGAGCAAACGGGG